CAAAAUUCUUGUCUUACAUUUGUUUAGAUACGGAUGUAUCUAACACUAAAAUGUAACUAGAUACAUCCGUAUUUAGACAAAUUUAAGACAAGAAUUUUGGGACGGAGGGAGUACAAA
rnacentral:pre_miRNA from 1 species